UACAGAGGGUGCGAGCGUUGUCCGGAUUCACUGGGCGUAAAGGGUGCGUAGGUGGUGAGGUAAGUCGGAUGUGAAAUCUCCGAGCUCAACUCGGAAAUGGCAUUGGAAACUACCUUGCUUGAGGGCUGGAGGGGGGACUGGAAUACUUGGUGUAGCAGUGAAAUGCGUAGAUAUCAAGUGGAACACCAGUGGCGAAGGCGAGUCCCUGGACAACUCCUGACACUGAGGCACGAAAGCUAGGGGAGCAAACAGG
rnacentral:rRNA from 1 species